GAAUCUGCAGUCUUGUAACAAAAGAAUGUGGAGUGGUAUUGUGUAAAGUGAACUUUAACUCUUCCUGGUAAUCAUUAUCAAUUAUACCACCAUACAUUAUAAUGUGUCUCAUCGCCAGGCUUGAACGUGUUGUAAUCCAUUCACCCACAUUCAAGUUUGCAUUUAUGCUGGAAAUUUUGGCCUGUUGAUCUACCUGCUGUUUAGUCUGUCAAGAGAAUGCAGAGAUGCAUGAGAAUCAAUAUGAAAAACAGCAAUAAUAGUAAUGUGCAUCAGGAUUCAGGAACACAUUUGAAAUAAUAGGACUGAAAAUUAUGAGGAAGAAACAUUUGUCCUUGGUGUUUCUGAAAUAUGUGAACCAAACCCCAAUGCCUGCACUUUUGCUCUCACAAACUUCUGACAUGAGGCACAGAUUUUUACAAGACAGCUUAACAUAGAAGUCUCACAAAAUGUGCAGAUUUCCUCAGAUCCCAAAAACAAUGGAAAAGCACUCAGACCACAAGAGCUUCAUGGGAAUAGCAGAAAGAAGAGGCGAACUUUGGCUGUCACUGUGAAUGCCCUGGAAUGUUAGUGGAUGAACAGAGAAGCCUUAGAAGAUUUAAGAGCAUAAUAAGCAUAGGGGAAUGCUAAAGGAAAUGGCAGAGUAAUGAGAAUGAUAACUUAUGACUGCUGAGAAGAGAAGUUACAUGCUUACCACAGCCUCAGAGAAACAAACACUACAAUCAACUGCGGAAGCAAAGGACCACAGUGUCUGGAAAACAAUGGGAAAAAAUAUCUUUACCUUAAAAAUACACACACAAGCCCAGAGAAGACACAUUGAAGACACUGUUAAUGAAGUACCAGGAUGUACAGCCUCACUGAUUGUUGUAUUAUCUUGUAGUAAGCAAGUUUGUACAUACUACAUUACACAGUUGUUUUAUAAAUUUCUGAAUCUCAUCAAAAGAUUGCAGGGCAUACAGAAAAGGACGAAAACAUGUCCCAAUUGAAGAAAUAAAAUAAACCUACAAAUAUUGACCUUUAAAAAUCUUUGUUGACUUUUAAAGGUCAAAAUUUGUAGGUUUAUUCUUUGUUGUUGUUGUUUUUGCAUUAUAUAAUUUUAAAAAUCAAAAUAAUUAUCAAAGCUCCUUAAUGAUAUGAACACUCCUCCAGUCCGCAGGGCUCCGGCAAGGGAGGAGCUUAGACACCAUGCGGGACACCCGGGUGGACCCCCAACCCACGCCCGAGGCUCAGAGCAGGAGCAAGGACCUGGCUGCACCAGGCCGAAGCCGCCUCCACCCCCAGCGGUCGCGGACUCCAGGAGCUCCAGACCUGGGGUCGUGGUGAGAUUCGUUGAUUGACUGCGCGAUGGUGGCUGAGUUGCAACCAAAUGGGUUUCAUCACCUUAAAUGGUUUUGAACCAAUGAAGCUAUAUUCCCUUAAAGAGACGGACAGCCCAUCGUGUGAACUAUAGAGUUUGUGAACAAAUUUAUAUUGGGUUCAUAGUGGCAUCAUGCACACAGACUCCUGCGAGUUCCCCUAAGUUCUUAGAGGACUGUUUUACCUUUUGAUCUGAGAGUUGCAAAGUUCCGUAAAGAAUGGCCCUGUGGAUAAGCGCUAAGUCAAGAGACAGCGAUUGGACAGAAUUUGUGAAGGAAUUCGCCGCCAGAUCACGAAAGACCCCCUAAGCCCCCGCUCACUGGCAGCGUUCCUGGUCGGCCGUGACUGCACUGUGGACAUGCCCAUCCUGAAGGAUCUGGCCACCGUGGCCUUCUAUGAUGCAGUCCACGCAGGAAAUCCACGAGAAAGUUCUAAACAGAGCCGUGGGCCCCAUGAUGCACCACACAAUCACCUCACUAGGAAGGUUCUGGCAAAU
rnacentral:lncRNA from 1 species